rnacentral:rRNA from 1 species
AUUGAACGCUGGCGGCAGGCCUAACACAUGCAAGUCGAGCGGAUGAAGGGAGCUUGCUCCUGGAUUCAGCGGCGGACGGGUGAGUAAUGCCUAGGAAUCUGCCUGGUAGUGGGGGAUAACGUCCGGAAACGGGCGCUAAUACCGCAUACGUCCUGAGGGAGAAAGUGGGGAUCUUCGGACCUCACGCUAUCAGAUGAGCCUAGGUCGGAUUAGCUAGUUGGUGGGGUAAAGGCCUACCAAGGCGACGAUCCGUAACUGGUCUGAGAGGAUGAUCAGUCACACUGGAACUGAGACACGGUCCAGACUCCUACGGGAGGCAGCAGUGGGGAAUAUUGGACAAUGGGCGAAAGCCUGAUCCAGCCAUGCCGCGUGUGUGAAGAAGGUCUUCGGAUUGUAAAGCACUUUAAGUUGGGAGGAAGGGCAGUAAGUUAAUACCUUGCUGUUUUGACGUUACCAACGGAAUAAGCACCGGCUAACUUCGUG